UACGUAAGGCGCAAGCGUUGUCCGGAAUUAUUGGGCGUAAAGAGCUCGUAGGCGGUCUGUCACGUCGGAAGUGAAAACCCGGGGCUUAACCCCGGGCUUGCUUUCGAUACGGGCAGACUAGAGUGUGGUAGGGGAGACUGGAAUUCCUGGUGUAGCGGUGAAAUGCGCAGAUAUCAGGAGGAACACCGGUGGCGAAGGCGGGUCUCUGGGCCACUACUGACGCUGAGGAGCGAAAGCGUGGGGAGCGAACAGG
rnacentral:rRNA from 1 species